rnacentral:rRNA from 1 species
AACGAACGCUGGCGGCAUGCCUAACACAUGCCAGUCGAACGAGACCUUCGGGUCUAGUGGCGCACGGGUGCGUAACGCGUGGGAACCUGCCCUUAGGUUCGGAAUAACUCCCCGAAAGGGGUGCUAAUACCGGAUAAUGUCUUCGGACCAAAGAUUUAUCGCCUUUGGAUGGGCCCGCGUUGGAUUAGCUAGUUGGUAGGGUAAAAGCCUACCAAGGCGACGAUCCAUAGCUGGUCUGAGAGGAUGAUCAGCCACACUGGGACUGAGACACGGCCCAGACUCCUACGGGAGGCAGCAGUGGGGAAUAUUGGACAAUGGGCGAAAGCCUGAUCCAGCAAUGCCGCGUGAGUGAUGAAGGCCUUAGGGUUGUAAAGCUCUUUUACCCGGGAUGAUAAUGACAGUACCGGGAGAAUAAGAUCCGGCUAACUCCGUG